AGUGAACGCUGGCGGUAGGCCUAACACAUGCAAGUCGAACGGCAGCACAGGAGAGCUUGCUCUCUGGGUGGCGAGUGGCGGACGGGUGAGGAAUACAUCGGAAUCUACUUUUUCGUGGGGGAUAACGUAGGGAAACUUACGCUAAUACCGCAUACGACCUACGGGUGAAAGCAGGGGACCUUCGGGCCUUGCGCGAUUGAAUGAGCCGAUGUCGGAUUAGCUAGUUGGCGGGGUAAAGGCCCACCAAGGCGACGAUCCGUAGCUGGUCUGCGGGGAUGGUAAGCCACACUGGAACUGAAGGACGGUCCAGACUCCUACGGGAGGCAGCAGUCGGGAAUAUUGGACAAUGGGCGCAAGCCUGAUUCAGCCAUACCGCGAGGGUGAAGAAGGCCUUCGGGUUGUAAAGCCCUUUUGUUGGGAAAGAAAUCCAGCUGGCUAAUACCCGGUUGGGAUGACGGUACCCAAAGAAUAAGCACCGGCUAACUUCGUGCCAGCCGCCGCGGUAA
rnacentral:rRNA from 1 species